GCCAGUUCUUUCUGACCGUGGAGACUUCUGCAGGUCUGCUGGCCCUCUUAUCAUGGUAUUUAUGCCAGGUUCUUGGACCCUUUUUGCCUGUUCCUGCUUUGGAGAAUCAGGGUUUGUGGUGGCCAGAAUGUUACAUGUUAAAGGAUGACUGACUCAGAGUCUUAUGGAAAAGGACUAUGCUGGGGACUCCUGGACUUCUGUGCCUAGAUUCUGAUGGCAUUGCUUAAAUACCUUCAAGAUUAUACCAUUGGAUUGAGUCAAGAUUUCUGGAAUGCUUGCAGAGAGCAGAUGGAUUCAUGAGAUUGCUAACCUGCUACUGAAUAUAAUAAAAAUUAAUUACAUAGGACUGAAUUAAGUAAUGAAGAUGAUUUUUUAAGUAUUGCUAU